rnacentral:rRNA from 1 species
GACGAACGCUGGCGGCGUGCCUAAUACAUGCAAGUUGAGCGAUGAAGAUUGGUGCUUGCACCAAUUUGAAGAGCAGCGAACGGGUGAGUAACGCGUGGGGAAUCUGCCUUUGAGCGGGGGACAACAUUUGGAAACGAAUGCUAAUACCGCAUAACAACUUUAAACAUAAGUUUUAAGUUUGAAAGAUGCAAUUGCAUCACUCAAAGAUGAUCCCGCGUUGUAUUAGCUAGUUGGUGAGGUAAAGGCUCACCAAGGCGAUGAUACAUAGCCGACCUGAGGGGGUGAUCGGCCACAGUGGGACUGAGACACGGCCCAAACUCCUACGGGAGGCAGCAGUAGGGAAUCUUCGGCAAUGGACGAAAGUCUGACCGAGCAACGCCGCGUGAGUGAAGAAGGUUUUCGGAUCGUAAAACUCUGUUGGUAGAGAAGAACGUUGGUGAGAGUGGAAAGCUCAUCAAGUGACGUUAACUACCCAGAAAGGGACGGCUAACUACGUG